rnacentral:rRNA from 1 species
UGCGGUACUCUGACCGUGCAAAGGUAGCAUAAUCAUUUGCCUUAUAAUUGAAGGCUGGUAUGAAUGGUUUGACAAGAAUAUAGCUGUCUCUUUAUAAUUUGCUAGAAUUUUAUUUGUAAGUGAAGAAGCUUACAUAAAAUUGAAGGACAAGAAGACCCUAUCGAGCUUUAAAAAAACUAACGGAUUAAGAAAUUAUUUAUAAAAAACAAUCCACUAGACAUUUUAGUUGGGGCGACUGAGGAACAAAAAAAGCUUCCUUUAAGGUAUUAGAUAAACGCACGAGUAUUGAUCCAGAAAUUUUGAUUAAAGGAAAUAGUUACCGUAGGGAUAACAGCAUAAUCUUUUUUAAGAGCCCAUAUCGAAAAAAAGGUUUGUGACCUCGAUGUUGGACCAGAAUAUCCUGAAGAUGUAGCAGUCUUUAAGGGUUGGUCUGUUCGACCAUUAAAAUUCUACGUGAA